rnacentral:rRNA from 1 species
CAUGAGUGGCGGACGGGUGAGUAACGCGUGGGCAACCUGGCCUGUACAGGGGGAUAACACUUAGAAAUAGGUGCUAAUACCGCAUAACGGGGGAAGCCGCAUGGCUUUUCCCUGAAAACUCCGGUGGUACAGGAUGGGCCCGCGUCUGAUUAGCCAGUUGGCAGGGUAACGGCCUACCAAAGCGACGAUCAGUAGCCGGCCUGAGAGGGUGGACGGCCACACUGGGACUGAGACACGGCCCAGACUCCUACGGAAGGCAGCAG